GGCAGCAGUGAGCCAUGAUUGCACCACUGCACUCCAGCCUGGGCAACAGGAGCAAAACUCCAUCUCAAAGAAAAAGAGUCUGACAUCCCCAAGUACUGCAGAGGAAGAGGCUACACGGCACUCAUACACAGCUGGUGGAAAUGUCAGUUUCACCUCCACUUCUGGAAAGCGCCCCUCUUGGGGACACAGGGCCUGUCGGAUUCACGUCUGUGUCUCCAGGAUGUCUCACAGGGCCUGGCACGUGGUAGGUGGCACCUCCAGGACCGCUGGUCAAGAUACCCUCCCCACAGCCAUUGGUCAGGGGUGGCCGUGAGACUCAAGACAGCACAUGUGGCCGGGUGCAAUCGCUCACGCCUGUAAUCCCAGGACUUUGGAACGCUGAGGCAGGCAGAUCACCUGGGAUCAGGA
rnacentral:lncRNA from 1 species